UAAUCUCAGGGUCGUGGGUUCGAGC
rnacentral:piRNA from 5 species